rnacentral:rRNA from 1 species
CAUCCUUGAUCGGGAGGUCUGGGUAAUCUUUUGAAACUUCAUCGUGCUGGGGAUAGUCCCUUGCAAUUUUUGGACUUAAACGAGGAAUUCCUAGUAAGCGUGAGUCAUCAACUCGCGUUGAUUACGUCCCUGCCCUUUGUACACACCGCCCGUCGCUACUACCGAUUGAAUGGCUUAGUGAAUCCUUCGGAUUGGCUUUUUUUUCUGGCAACAGAAUUUAAUCGCUGAAAAGUUGGGCAAACUUGGUCAUUUAGAGGAAGUAAAAGUCGUAACAAGGUUUCCGUAGGUGAACCUGCGGAAGGAUCAUUAAAAAAAUGGUACUCUAUUUGUGAGUGCAUUAAUAAUCCAUCCUACCCUUUGUGAAUUUGUUGUAUGAAAUAAUUUUUUUUUAAAAAAAAUUAUUGAAUGUCUUUCCCUGUUGAAAAGUUUGGUCGUAAGACUUGGAUUUUUCACAGGGGAUAGUCAAUAAUUUUUUUAAAAAGACCUUUUUUUAAAUAAAACUUUUUGUAUUCAUUUGUCUAAAAUUAUUUUUAUAAUAUAAAAACAACUUUUGACAAUGGAUCUCUUGGUUCUCGCAACGAUGAAGAACGCAGCAAAAUGCGAUAAGUAGUGUGAAUUGCAGAAUACGUGAAUCAUCGAAUCUUCGAACGCAUAUUGCAC